rnacentral:lncRNA from 1 species
UGCUUGCAGAGGGUCCAUUUGGACAUAGAUACACUUUCAUACAUUCAUGUCUUUAACAAGAAUUUGUGUCCCUACUGUGUUUGUUCACUAACUCCUUUGAACCUACCACAUAAGCUAUAUCUGUAUUUUCCUUGUAAUUUGGGAGGUCCAGUGCUUCAUUACGCUCAUAUGCCUGAAACUAAUGAAGAAAAUAGCUCGUUAACCAGCUAGUAUAAAAGUAGCCACCAAAUCAAGUCAAUCACCUGCCUUAAAUUAGCCCAGUACUCCCAUCUUGAGCGGAGAAGCCCAUUCUGAAUCACAGUCAAGACAUUGAUGGAAAAACAACUCCCUCUGGGGAUCAAAACCACGCUCACUCCAAAUCCUCCUCCCCAGAGUUCUACUCAUUGCUCACCCACUGAACCCAGAACUAACCAGAAGUGCUUGAAAUGAGGACGGGUAGCUCCAUGUACCAAUCGGAAUUUAAAACUCUAUCAAUUCCUGCUAUAGAAAUGAGGCUUCUCCCCAGGACCAGCAUUCCACGAAGGCAGCCCUUUUCUAGAUGGAGAAAACAGAACCUGAAGACACCCGUUUCCCUAAACUGCUCUCGCUCAUAGAAACUCCUGGAGGGCAGAGGCAUGCCUGCCAUCUUCAUCAUUGCAUUACCACCACCCAACACUAUCGGGGGACCUGCCCUGAUAAUCAGUCUACAGGUGUAUCCAGCAGCUCCAGAGAGACAGCGACCAGCGAGAAGGGGCCAUGAUGAUGGUGGUGGUUUUGUCAAAACGAAAAGGGGGAUAUGUAGGGAAAAGAAAGAGAGAUCAGACUGUUACUGUGUCUACAUAGAAAGGGAAGCCAUAAGAGACUCCAUUUUGAAAAAGACCUGUACUUUAAACAAUUGCUUGCUGAGAUGUUGUUUAUCUGUAGCUUUGCCCCAGCCACUUUGCCCCAACCACUUUGACCCAAUCUGGAGCUCACAAAAACAUGUUUGUAUGAAAUCAAGGUUUAAGGCAUGUAGGGCUGUGCAGGACGUGCCUUGUUAACCAAAUAUUUGGAAGCAGUAUACUUGGUAAAAGUCAUCACCAUUCUCUCGUCUCAAUAAACCAGGGGCACAAUGCACUGUGGAAAGCCGCAGGGACCUCUGCCCUUGAAAGCUGGGUAUUGUCCAUGGUUUCUUCCCAUGUGAUAGUCUGAAAUAUGGCCUCAUGGGAUGAGAAAGACCUGACGGUCCCCCAGCUCGACACCCAUAAAGUGUCUGUGCUGAGGUGGAUUAGUCAAAGAGGAAAGCCUCUUGCAGUUGAGAUAGAGGAAGGCCGCUGUCUCAUGCUUGCCCCCUGGGAACUGAAUGUCUCGGUAUAAAACACUAUUGUACAUUUGUUCAAUUCUGACAUGGGAGAAAAACCACCCUAUGGUGGGAGGCGAGACAUGUUUACAGCAAUGCUGCCUUGUUAUUCUUUACUCCACUGAGAUGUCUGGGUGCAGAGAAACAUAAAUCUGGCUUACAUGCACGUCCAGUCAUAGUACCUUCCCUUGAACUUCAUUAUGUCAUAGAUUCUAUUGCUCACAUGUUUGUUGCUGACCUUCUCCUUAUUAUCACCUUGCCCUCCUACUACAUUCAUUUUUGCUGAAAUAAUGAAGAUAAUAAUCAAUAAAAACUGAGGGAACUCAGAGAACGGUGCCAGUGCAGGUCCUUGGUAUGCUAAGCGCCGGUCCCCUGGGCCCACUGUUGUUUCUCUAUACUUUGUCUCUGUGUCUGAUUUCUUUUCUGUCUCUCAUCCCACCCGACAAGAAAUACCCACAGGUGUGGAGGGGCA